AUUGAACGCUGGCGGAAUGCUUUACACAUGCAAGUCGAACGGCAGCACGGACUUCGGUCUGGUGGCGAGUGGCGAACGGGUGAGUAACAUAUCGGAACGUAUCCAAUAAUGGGGGAUAACUAAUCGAAAGGUUGGCUAAUACCGCAUACGCACUACGGGGGAAAGCAGGGGAGCUUCGGACCUUGCGUUAAUGGAGCGGCGGAUAUCUGAUUAGCUAGUUGGUGAGGUAAAGGCUCACCAAGGCGACGAUCAGUAGCUGGUCUGAGAGGACGACCAGCCACACUGGAACUGAGACACGGUCCAGACUCCUACGGGAGGCAGCAGUGGGGAAUUUUGGACAAUGGGCGCAAGCCUGAUCCAGCCAUUCCGCGUGAGUGAAGAAGGCCUUCGGGUUGUAAAGCUCUUUCGCAAGGGAAGAAAACUUACUUUCUAAUAAAGAGUGAGGUUGACGGUACCUUGAUAAGAAGCACCGGCUAACUACGUGCCAGCCGCCGCAGUAA
rnacentral:rRNA from 1 species